rnacentral:rRNA from 1 species
UGGGGAAUAUUGCACAAUGGGGGAAACCCUGAUGCAGCGACGCCGCGUGAGUGAAGAAGUAUUUCGGUAUGUAAAGCUCUAUCAGCAGGGAAGAAAGAAGACGGUACCUGACUAAGAAGCCCCGGCUAACUACGUGCC